rnacentral:misc_RNA from 1 species
AAUCACUAUCCACCCCUAUUUCUCUUGCAUCAACGGAAAAUAGACAAUGAGUCAUAAAUGGCCAAAUGGGUAUAGUUAAUAAGAGUUGUCAGGUGUGUGGACUAUGGUUGGUUGUUCAUUGUUGUGCCUAUAUUAAAGACCUCUGCCAUUUAUGCACUGCGCAAGGGUGUCGGUGAGAUUCGGCGUACAGUAAAUGCUGCUGAAUUUAUAGUGGUCAAGAAACAAACACAAAUAAGGUGAAAAAAUACAACUUUAAUCCUCUGGAAAUUACAAAUAAUUUAAGACUAAAUUGAUGUUUAAUAAUUUUAUUGUUUUUCCUUUUCAUAACAUCACCGAUUUCCUUUCUGAACUAAGCAGCAUAUCUCACGUCAAUAAUUAAACAAUCUGUUCUUAUUGCAUACAAUGAUCUUCAACUUCAAUUCAAAAGCCCACUACAUAAAAAAUACAAUCAAACCCAACUGUAAUCUGUUCAUUUAUUUCUUUCAUCUGGGUAAUAUGACUGCUUUGAGAGGAUUCUUCAUAACCACAGUGAAGGCAAAAGUCUCUGUGGGAUCAGGAAGGCCAUUGGGGUUGGGUAGCCACUUGAAAGCUUGGACCAUCCUAGCAAGCAUUAGGUUUACAUGUAACAUACCAAGAGUAAGCCCUGGGCAAGUCCUCCGCCCUGCCCCAAACGGCAACAUCUUCACCGUGCCCUUAGUUCCUGUCAGGUCCACUCCAACUCCAUCCCCUUCCAAGAACCUUUCGGGUCUGAACACACCUGGAUCUUUCCAUAAAUUCGGAUCCUCUGUCAUCCACUCAAUGUAAAACUCUACAUUCGCGUUGGUCGGAAUCUCGUAGCCACCAAGCUUAGUCUCCUCCGUGGCCGCGUGUGACAAUGUGAAGUGGGCUGGAGAAUGUAUCCGUAAAGUUUCCUUAACCACAGCAUUAAGAUAUGGCAUUUUCUCUACAUGGUCUUCAGUGAUUAGCCCAUUUUUUCCCACAGUUGAUACAAUUUCCCUGUAAAGCUGUUCUUGAAUUUCUUGAUUUAGAACUAAUUCAAGAAAAGCCCAUUGAAGCACACUCGUACUAGUGUCAAUACCAGCAACAAACACCUCUGAGCAAAGUGUCACGAGUUCUUCUUCUCCCAAAAGGCCGCGCCCCGGGGCCUUAAGCUCAAAAAGAGAGUCCACAUAGGCUGCGCCAACUGGACUCACCAUCAGGGAGCCUGGGUUUUCACCUUUCUCUACAUAAGCUCUCCUGUUUCUUAUCAGAGGAACCAAGCAUUCUAUCUGUGUCUUCCUCAGCUCUUUCGCUCUUUUCAUUUGCCUGCGAAACAAUGGAGUGAGAAUUGGCAAGAAAUCGGGAAGCUGUGGCGAGGUUAUAAGCAUAACCUCCUUUGUGACACUAUCAAUAUCCUUAAUCCAUUCUUCUGGGAUUUUGGCACCGAAGCAUAUGCAUACUAGAAUGCUGCAAACAGUGAACCUACAGAUGUCCAUAACAUCUACACAACCAUUUUCAAAGGCCUCAUUUUGGAGCCUCUUCAUGUGAUUCUCCAUAGCCCAUUCUCGUAUCCAGCUGCAUUGCUUGAUUCUAACCGGGCUUAUCAACUCUGUAACAAAGUUCCGGCGAAGGGUUCUCCAGAGAGGCCCAUAUUCUGCUGAAUUGACUGCACAUUUCCCUACACUAAACACCAGCCGGAUCGGCGAGUCUAGUGGCCUGCUGGCGAAGACAGAGCCUUUCUGGAUCAAGGCCUCAUGGAUGAGUUCGGGGCUGGUGACUAUAACCAAAGUACGUUGACCCAUUUGCAUGGUGAAGAUUGGACCAUACUUUGCACGUAAAUCACGUAUCAAAAAAAUGAAGUGACGGCGCUGGAGGAUAACCUGGAACAAGUUGCCCACAAACGGCCACCCCGGCGGUCCUGGUGGAAGGUUAUUGGACUUGCACUUGCCGGCGGUGACAGAAUAUCGCCACCACAGGACAAGAAAGACUAAGGAGAAACAGAGAAUGAAGAGAUCUAUCAACUCCAUAGUUGAGGAG